rnacentral:lncRNA from 1 species
GUUAUUCUCUAUGAAAGUACUCAGUGACAGAUACAUCCUUGCUGUCUUUUUUAAAGCCAGUUCAUGCUGAAGAGUGUUCUGUAUCAGUAAAAUGUAUCAGUAAUGUGAGAAGAAUGGCUGUGGAUAUACAGAGCUGGGAGAGCAGAGAUGACAUGGAAAUGGCCAUACUGUACAAGCUGAAUGAGAAUUAAGGAUAGGACAAGACCAGGAGAGGAACAAAUAGAAUAAAAUCAUCAUGUCAUAGGAUAAAUGAGAGUUGGUGAGGGAUUAUUGUAAAUGAGAAUGCUGGUUGAUGGAGAAGUCAGCACGAGCCAGUUUUAUGUGCCUGCAGCCCAGAAAGACAACUGUAACCCGGGCUACAUUAAGAGUAGAGAGACCAGGAGUGUGAUUCUCCCUUCUGCUCCAAACUCUAACUGAGCUUCCAGCUGCAUUCAGCUCUGGGGUCACCAGCACAAGAAAGAUGUGGAGCUGUUGAAAUGAGAGCAGAGGAGAGCCACAGAGAUUCUCAGUGAGUCUCAGUGUUUGUGAAACGGCCCCUGUGAAAGUCCUUGGGUGGACUCUGGCAAACAAACAGCAAAACUACUAACGCAACAGCUACCAGAAAGCACAUCUCCAUCUACCUGCGUGCCCCGUGCUGUCACCAGAGUCACAGUCACCCCGUGCCCUUACAAUAGGACAGGUGCCUAGAAAUGCCCUGGGCACACAGCCCGCCUUCAGUCCCGCUGGGGACUUUCGAGGCGUCAACGUCUUCCCGCUGGAACGCGAGACGUCGAGACCUCGCCAGCCCUACACGAGACGUCAGAGUCCCGCGAGCGGAUUGCGGGCCUGCGAGGAUCCCGCUCGAGGAACGGCAGGCGGCAGAGGUCCGGCCAGAGACACGCGGGGCGUCCGUCACCGGCGGGACGCGGCACAGAGAGGCGCCGAGGGCCGGAGGCCGCCGACCGCUCUGCCAGAGGCAGCCUCCGGCGACUCGGUCCUCCGAGCACCUCCGUGCCGGGGCAGCUGCGGCCGCGAGUCGGGAGGCGACCGGCGGAGGCCCGCGAGGAGGAGGAGCGCCCCACGUGCCUCGGCCCGCCGGACCCGCGUUGUCCCUGCAGGCCCGCCUUCCGCGGGAACCGCGAGUUGCCUUUCCAAAUACUUUGGAAGAAUAAGAACAUAAAGCUCACUGGAUAACCAGAAAAGAGGAGAGAAAGAGAUUUUUAGGUCCCGUGAGUAUGAUCUUGCUAUUAAGAUUGCAAGGACUGCAACCCUUUACAAUAGGGAGUGAAUAGGCAAUAGAGAUUGGCCUCGGUGGUGCUGUGUGUUCCACAGUAAGAAAAUGAUGGAAGACUGAAAAGAGCUACAGAGGUUAAAUCAUAUAUACAUAUAUAAAUAGGUAAAUACAACCUUAUUGGAAUAAUAAAAAGCUGUUGUUGAAAUACCUCUCUUACUGC